UGAGGAAUAUUGGUCAAUGGACGCAAGUCUGAACCAGCCAUGCCGCGUGCAGGAAGACGGCUCUAUGAGUUGUAAACUGCUUUUGUACGAGGGUAAACUCGGAUACGUGUAUCCGUUUGAAAGUAUCGUACGAAUAAGGAUCGGCUAACUCCGUGCCAGCAGCCGCGGUAAUACGGAGGAUUCAAGCGUUAUCCGGAUUUAUUGGGUUUAAAGGGUGCGUAGGCGGUCGGAUAAGUUAGAGGUGAAAUCCCGGGGCUCAACUUCGGAAUUGCCUCUGAUACUGUUCGGCUAGAGAGUAGUUGCGGUAGGCGGAAUGUAUGGUGUAGCGGUGAAAUGCUUAGAGAUCAUACAGAACACCGAUUGCGAAGGCAGCUUACCAAGCUACUUCUGACGUUGAGGC
rnacentral:rRNA from 1 species